GCCUGUAUGGUCCGAAGUGUAUCUGUAUUGACAUGCAUAUUGCAUCAAGUGUCUCAUUAAAUUUUUUAUCUCUGAGGGGUAUCUGUUCCCUUUGCCCUUCGGGGUAUCUGUUUUUUCCUCCCCUAUCUGCUCUGAAAAGAUGUAAGAGGAUAGUUCCUAGUAGAUGAUGGCAUACCCACUGACGAGGGUAGUAUUGCACAAUAUAUAGGGGUCACCCAUGGCUAAGUAAUGUCAUGAUUAUAGAUAUCUGUUAGGGUCACUAUGGCUAUGCGACCGUAAUCAUAGAUCGUACCAUGGUUUGGCCAACUGGAAAUGGGUCU
rnacentral:lncRNA from 1 species